rnacentral:rRNA from 1 species
UACGGAGGGUGCAAGCGUUAUCCGGAUUCACUGGGUUUAAAGGGUGCGUAGGAGGGCAGGUAAGUCAGUGGUGAAAUCCCCGAGCUUAACUUGGGAACUGCCGUUGAUACUAUCUGUCUUGAAUACCGUGGAGAUGAGCGGAAUAUGUCAUGUAGCGGUGAAAUGCUUAGAUAUGACAUAGAACACCAAUUGCGAAGGCAGCUCGUUACACGAAUAUGAUCUCUGAGGCACGAAAGCGUGGGGAUCAAACAGGAUUAGAACCUCCGUGUCAGUC